rnacentral:tRNA from 1 species
GCGAAUGUGGCGGAAUUGGUAGACGCACUGGAUUUAGGUUCCAGCGCCGUAAGGUGUGUGGGUUCGAGUCCCUCCAUUCGCACCA